AUUAUGAUAACAUGCUUUCCAGCUCAGAGGAAAGCAAUGGGAUGACUACCUGAAAAUGGGAAAACAAACACUGCCUUCACAAGCUUUACUGGAGAGCCUUCCUUUGAAAGCUUCCUUUAAGAAAAUAAAAGGCCCAGAAGCCCCACGCUGGAACAAAUUUAGCACGAUGACGCACAACGACAGAGAGCGCUCACUCUGGAAUCGGGGCUCAUGAACUUUUUUGGGGUUUGGGGGUUUUCCUGUGCUCCCCCUCCCCGUCCCACAGCCACAAGUACAAAGGCAAUUUGCGCCCAUUCAUUCUGGAUUCCCUGCGCCGCUGGAGCGCGGGGGGGGCGCGCUGGGAAGGGCUGGAGCGGCGGAGCUGCCCCGGCACGCGCGGGCUGCGGGGGCCACACCGCGGGCGGGGCCGCCCCGCACCCCGCGACCCAAGGCCCAUCACGGUCCCACCGCGGCGGCCCCCGGGGCGGCCCGGGCGAGGGAGGAGCCGGCGGGCCCGGACCGGUGCCGGGUGGGCGCUACUUAUUUCAGAAUAAAUCAAUUUGGCAUCUGGAAAUCUGAAGUGUUUUGUCACUAGAGCUUAUGCCUGUUGCUCAAAUCAAAACAGAGGGACCAUGUUUUUUCAAAAGGAUAAUGCCAAGAUCAUGGUCAUUUCAGAACAACAGUUUACAGUCUGGAGCAGUGACUGUUCCAUGGAUCUCAGAAUAACAGAUUAUCCCUGUGUCCAUCCAGACACAAACUGGAAGAUGUUUGCUAAUACAGCUCACUAAUUACAAUUUCCUCCCCCUCAAAAUUAGUAAUUUCCAUUAUUGUUUCAAUUUAUAAUUUUCCAAAUAAAAACUUUCCCUCUAUUUAGUAGA